rnacentral:rRNA from 1 species
UACGGAGGAUCCAAGCGUUAUUCGGAAUUAUUGGGCGUAAAGGGCGCGUAGGCGGCUUGGCAAGUGGAUGGUGAAAUCCCUCGGCUUAACCGAGGAACUGCCGUCCAAACUGCUUCGCUUGAGACCGGGAGAGGUGAGUGGAAUUCCCAGUGUAGCGGUGAAAUGCGUAGAUAUUGGGAGGAACACCAGUGGCGAAGGCGGCUCACUGGACCGGUACUGACGCUGAUGCGCGAAAGCGUGGGGAGCAAACGGG